CCGUGUAUUAAAUAUCGGGAAGGAUCUCCCAAACAAUGGAUUUGCUGACAUAAACAUUGACCAAGCUGGUUCAGCCUUUGCCUGCUUUAGGCUACCCUAUCAACCAUUUCAAUAAUCUAAGCUUUAUGUACUUCCCAGAAGAUAACAUUACGACUGAGUACUCAUUUCCGGUGGCCUGAAGAAGCCAUGAGAACCCCAACAGCCACAAUAAACAUGGACAACAUACUUGUCAGCAAAAUAUAUGUUCUUCUUGAUGAUUUUCUGUACUCUUUGAAGAUUACUAUGCCCCAAAAUGUGCUCACAAGUGGGAGUGCCUGAACAGCAUCUGCUGCUGCAUAUCCUGCAGCUUGACCACCCAUAAAUUGAAGGCCAUUCCCAAACCCACAUAAUAAUCCAGCCAGGAAGGCCCAGCCUCUGCCAUUCCAAUCAUUAACAUAAGCCCUCAAUGUUGAUUUGGGUAGGUUCAGUACAGGCCGAUAAAGGAAAAUGACAUUUAAAAUUAUGGCAAGUACAAAACAGGAGACUGAGAACCAGAAAAAUGCAGUGUAGACAACUAAUUUAGGAACCCCUUUCUUCAAGGCGUGCCAUUGAUCAUUUGUAGCUAAGUUGAAAGCUGGUGAGAAGAGUGAGAAGCAAAAACCAGCAAAGAAAGUUAUAGCCAGUCCAAUCAAAGUACCCUUCCCAAACACCUUGAUUGAUCUUCUGUUUUCAAGCUCUAUGAGGAAAGCUGCAGUUCCAGCUUUUGCCUUCCAUGGAGGAGCAUUUCCAUUCUCCAGAUCCUUUGCUCCAUUGUUUGGAAAUUCUUCCUUGGUUGUGGAAGAACCUGUGUCCACCGUUUCAAGUUUGUUGUCAUUUGAUAAAUUCUUGAGCUUUGUUUUAUUAUCAGCUGCAUUGGAAGAAUGAACAGCUGAACCAAGACAAACAGCAAUCAAGAAGCAACCAACCCCAGGAAAAAGAAUCUCAGCCCUAUUAAUUUUGUCAUCCAAGAAGUAAUUCAAGGUUGUUCCUAUAACAACAGUUAUGCUAGAAGUGAUGACUUCCACCACUGACAAACCAACAAAAGCCCAAGCAUACUGUGUGGAUAAGUUUAUGUUUCCAUUGCUAAGCCCCACUCCCCCAGCCAUUGCAAACAUAACAGAGGGCCAAUUAUCCUGAGAAAGUUGGGUUAGAAAAUUCGGUGACUCAGGUGUGCUC
rnacentral:misc_RNA from 1 species